CCUCCUUUCUAAGGAUGAGUGAAAGUAAAAUUUCACUCUAAAUAAUAUACAUCGGUAAUGUUGACCGUCCUCAUUUCUCUUCUUAAAGUAAUGUUUCCUUCUUGUAGGGCCGGUAGCUCAGUUGGUUAGAGCACGCCCUUGAUAAGGGUGGGGUCGAAAGUUCGAGUCUUUCUCGGCCCACCAAAAACCUAAAUGGGGGAUUAGCUCAUCUGGGAGAGCGCCUGAUUUGCAUUCAGGAGGUAGCAGGCUCGAUCCCUGUAUCCUCCACCAGGAAACAUUUAGUUAUUCAAACUGUAAAUAAAAAUAAUUUAUAUCAAUAUCUAUAUCCGAACAUUAAAAGUUAUUAUUUAAUGUUCAAAAUAAAAAUUUGAUCACAACAUAGAUUAAUUUUCUUUUUAAAAGAAUUUUUUUCUGUGCAUAAAUCAAGCGUUUAAGGGCGUGUAGUGGAUGCCUGGGCACUGAAAGCCGAUGAAGGACGUGAUAUACUGCGAUAAGUUUCGGGGAGCUGUAUGUAAGCUUUGA
rnacentral:misc_RNA from 1 species